rnacentral:rRNA from 1 species
UGAGGAAUAUUGGUCAAUGGUCGCGAGACUGAACCAGCCAAGUAGCGUGCAGGAUGACGGCCCUCUGGGUUGUAAACUGCUUUUAGUUGGGAAUAAAAGGCGGUACGUGUACCGCGUAUUGUAUGUACCAUGAGAAUAAGCACCGGCUAACUCCGUGCCAGCAGCCGCGGUAAUACGGAGGGUGCAAGCGUUAUCCGGAUUUAUUGGGUUUAAAGGGUGCGUAGGCUGUAAGUCAAGUCAGCGGUGAAAAAGUCGGGGCUAAACCUUGAGGGUGCCGUUGAAACUGAUUUACUAGAAUGUGGAUGAUGCCGGCGGAAUGUGUCAAGUAGCGGUGAAAUGCAUAGAUAUGACACAGAAGGCCGAUUGCGAAGGCAGCUGGCAAAGGCACGAUUGACGCUGAGGCACGAA